AUAAAUAAAUGGAUCCAUUUCUAGGAUAGUUGAAGAAAUAAAUGACAAUGGUUGAAUGAAUAAAUGUUAAGGAGUUAAACUAUAUUUGGCAGUCUACCCUGAAACCAUCCUUUCCUCUUUUUAAGAAGUGGUUCAAUCAGUUGGAUCAGGAUAAUGUUAAGGGAUUAAUGUCUAGGAGCUGAUUAAUGAGAUAAAUCAGGAUGGGAAUGAAUGAAUGAAUGUCUAGGAGCUGAUUAAUGAGAUAGAUCAGGAUGGGAAUGGAUGUAUCAGCUUUAAUGAAUUUGUGUGGCUGAUGACUAGGGAAAUCCAUGAUACUGAUAUAGAAGAAGAAAUACGUGAGGCAUUUCGUGUUUUUGAUAGAGAAGGUCACGGAUUCAUAACUGCUCUAGAUUUGACCGCUGUUCUGCAAACUCUAGGGGAGAAACUUUCUCCAGAGGAAACUGAGGUCAAUAGUUUAAUAAUAAUUUAUUAGGGUUUCAAACAGUUUU